rnacentral:rRNA from 1 species
GAUGAACGCUGGCGGCGUGCCUAAUACAUGCAAGUCGAGCGAACAGACGAGGAGCUUGCUCCUCUGACGUUAGCGGCGGACGGGUGAGUAACACGUGGAUAACCUACCUUUAAGACUGGGAUAACUUCGGGAAACCGGAGCUAAUACCGGAUAAUAUAUUGAACCGCAUGGUUCAAUAGUGAAAGACGGUUUUGCUGUCACUUAUAGAUGGAUCCGCGCCGCAUUAGCUAGUUGGUAAGGUAACGGCUUACCAAGGCAACGAUGCGUAGCCGACCUGAGAGGGUGAUCGGCCACACUGGAACUGAGACACGGUCCAGACUCCUACGGGAGGCAGCAGUAGGGAAUCUUCCGCAAUGGGCGAAAGCCUGACGGAGCAACGCCGCGUGAGUGAUGAAGGUCUUCGGAUCGUAAAACUCUGUUAUUAGGAAAGAACAAAUGUGUAAGUAACUAUGCACGUCUUGACGGUACCUAAUCAGAAAGCCACGGCUAACUACGUG